UACGUAGGCAGCAAGCGUUGUUCGGAAUUACUGGGCGUAAAGAGUGUGUAGGCGGUGCUCUAAGUUCGGUGUGAAAUCUCCCGGCUCAACUGGGAGGGUGCGCCGGAAACCGGAGUGCUGGAGCGCGGGAGAGGAAAGCGGAAUUCCUGGUGUAGCGGUGAAAUGCGUAGAUAUCUGGAGGAAUACGGUGGCGAAGGCGGCGAUCCUGGACCGACAUUGACGGCUGAUGA
rnacentral:rRNA from 1 species